GAACGGGUGAGUAAUGCAUCGGAACGUACUCUGGAGUGGGGGAUAACUAUCCGAAAGGAUAGCUAAUACCGCAUAUUCUAUGAGUAGGAAAGCGGGGGAUCUUCGGACCUCGCGCUCUGGGAGCGGCCGAUGUCAGAUUAGCUAGUUGGUGGGGUAAAGGCCUACCAAGGCUACGAUCUGUAGCGGGUCUGAGAGGAUGAUCCGCCACACUGGGACUGAGACACGGCCCAGACUCCUACGGGAGGCAGCAGUGGGGAAUUUUGGACAAUGGGGGCAACCCUGAUCCAGCCAUGCCGCGUGAGUGAAGAAGGCCUUCGGGUUGUAAAGCUCUUUCGGCCGGGAAGAAAUCGCCAUCUCUAAUAUAGGUGGUGGAUGACGGUACCGGAAUAAGAAGCACCGGCUAACUACGUGCCAGCAGCCGCGGUAAUACGUAGGGUGCGAGCGUUAAUCGGAAUUACUGGGCGUAAAGCGUGCGCAGGCGGUUUUUUAAGAUAGGCGUGAAAUCCCCGGGCUUAACCUGGGAACUGCGCUUAUGACUGGAAGACUAGAGUACGGCAGAGGGGGGUGGAAUUCCACGUGUAGCAGUGAAAUGCGUAGAGAUGUGGAGGAACACCGAUGGCGAAGGCAGCCCCCUAGGCCGAUACUGACGCUCAUGCA
rnacentral:rRNA from 1 species